AUUGAACGCUGGCGGCAUGCUUUACACAUGCAAGUCGAACGGCAGCGCGGGCUUCGGCCUGGCGGCGAGUGGCGAACGGGUGAGUAAUGCAUCGGAACGUGCCCAGUAGUGGGGGAUAGCCCGGCGAAAGCCGGAUUAAUACCGCAUACGACCUGAGGGUGAAAGCGGGGGACCGAAAGGCCUCGCGCUAUUGGAGUGGCCGAUGUCGGAUUAGCUAGUUGGUGGGGUAAAGGCUUACCAAGGCGACGAUCCGUAGCUGGUCUGAGAGGACGACCAGCCACACUGGGACUGAGACACGGCCCAGACUCCUACGGGAGGCAGCAGUGGGGAAUUUUGGACAAUGGGGGCAACCCUGAUCCAGCCAUGCCGCGUGCGGGAAGAAGGCCUUCGGGUUGUAAACCGCUUUUGUUCGGGAAGAAAUCCUCUGGGCUAAUACCCCGGGGGGAUGACGGUACCUGAAGAAUAAGCACCGGCUAACUACGUG
rnacentral:rRNA from 1 species